rnacentral:rRNA from 1 species
AUACGUAGGGGGCGAGCGUUGUCCGGAAUGAUUGGGCGUAAAGGGCGCGUAGGCGGCCCGGUAAGUCUGGAGUGAAAGUCCUGUUUUUAAGAUGGGAAUUGCUUUGGAUACUGUCGGGCUUGAGUGCAGGAGAGGUAAGUGGAAUUCCCAGUGUAGCGGUGAAAUGCGUAGAGAUUGGGAGGAACACCAGUGGCGAAGGCGACUUACUGGACUGUAACUGACGCUGAGGCGCGAAAGUGUGGGGAGCAAACAGGAUUAGAUACCCUGGUAGUCCACACUGUAAACGGUGAAUGCUAGGUGUAGGGGGUAUCGACCCCUUCUGUGCCGCAGUCAACACAAUAAGCAUUCCGCCUGGGGAAUACGGCCGCAAGGUUGAAACUCAAAGGAAUUGACGGGG